UUAAACACAAUGAUGGAUCGAGUACGUUGCACACUGGUUUUUAGAGAAGGGCUUCCUUGGCUGAAAGAAGCGCUAAACAAAGAGCAGCUGAACGCUAGUCCAGAGUGCAGGCUAAAACCUGCCGUGUCAGCAACGUUAACGCUAUGAAGGUGAUAAAUGCUUUUGGCAUUUAUAAUCAGGGUGGUACCGCGAGUUCAACUCUCGUCCCUGCU
rnacentral:ncRNA from 1 species